rnacentral:snRNA from 1 species
GUGCAUGCUUCACCAGCACAUAUACUGAAAUUGGAAUGAUACAGAGAAGAUUAGCAUGGGCCCUGUGCAAGGCUAAUACGCAAAUUCAUAUAUAUAUAUAUAU